GUGGGGAAUUUUGGACAAUGGGGGCAACCCUGAUCCAGCCAUGCCGCGUGCGGGAAGAAGGCCUUCGGGUUGUAAACCGCUUUUGUCAGGGAAGAAAUCCUUUGGGUCAAUACCUCGGAGGGAUGACGGUACCUGAAGAAUAAGCACCGGCUAACUACGUGCCAGCAGCCGCGGUAAUACGUAGGGUGCGAGCGUUAAUCGGAAUUACUGGGCGUAAAGCGUGCGCAGGCGGUUUUGUAAGAUCGAUGUGAAAUCCCCGGGCUCAACCUGGGAACUGCAUUGGUGACUGCAAGGCUGGAGUGCGGCAGAGGGGGAUGGAAUUCCGCGUGUAGCAGUGAAAUGCGUAGAUAUGCGGAGGAACACCGAUGGCGAAGGCAGUCCCCUGGGCCUGUACUGACGCUCAUGCACGAAAGCGUGGGGAGCAAACAGGAUUAGAUACCCUAGUAGUCC
rnacentral:rRNA from 1 species